AGUGAACGCUGGCGGUAGGCCUAACACAUGCAAGUCGAACGGCAGCACAGUAAGAGCUUGCUCUUACGGGUGGCGAGUGGCGGACGGGUGAGGAGUACAUCGGAAUCUACUUUUUCGUGGGGGAUAACGUAGGGAAACUUACGCUAAUACCGCAUACGACCUACGGGUGAAAGCAGGGGAUCUUCGGACCUUGCGCGAUUGAAUGAGCCGAUGUCGGAUUAGCUAGUUGGCGGGGUAAAGGCCCACCAAGGCGACGAUCCGUAGCUGGUCUGAGAGGAUGAUCAGCCACACUGGAACUGAGACACGGUCCAGACUCCUACGGGAGGCAGCAGUGGGGAAUAUUGGACAAUGGGCGCAAGCCUGAUCCAGCCAUACCGCGUGGGUGAAGAAGGCCUUCGGGUUGUAAAGCCCUUUUGUUGGGAAAGAAAAGCAGCAGGUUAAUACCCCGCUGUUCUGACGGUACCCAAAGAAUAAGCACCGGCUAACCUCGUG
rnacentral:rRNA from 1 species